CUACGGCGGCAGCAGUGGGGAAUAUUGGACAAUGGGCGAAAGCCUGAUCCAGCCAUGCCGCGUGUGUGAAGAAGGCCUUCGGGUUGUAAAGCACUUUCAGUGGGGAAGAAAGCCUUGGGGCUAAUACCCUCGAGGAAGGACAUCACCCACAGAAGAAGCACCGGCUAACUCCGUGCCAGCAGCCGCGGUAAUACGGAGGGUGCGAGCGUUAAUCGGAAUUACUGGGCGUAAAGCGCGCGUAGGCGGUCUGAUAAGCCGGUUGUGAAAGCCCCGGGCUCAACCUGGGAACGGCAUCCGGAACUGUCAGGCUAGAGUGCAGGAGAGGAAGGUAGAAUUCCCGGUGUAGCGGUGAAAUGCGUAGAGAUCGGGAGGAAUACCAGUGGCGAAGGCGGCCUUCUGGACUGACACUGACGCUGAGGUGCGAAAGCGUGGGUAGCAAACAGGAUUAGAUACCCUAGUAGUC
rnacentral:rRNA from 1 species